rnacentral:rRNA from 1 species
UACGGAGGGGGCUAGCGUUGUUCGGAAUCACUGGGCGUAAAGCGCACGUAGGCGGCUUUUUAAGUCAGGGGUGAAAUCCUGGAGCUCAACUCCAGAACUGCCUUUGAUACUGAGAGGCUCGAGUCCGGGAGAGGUGAGUGGAAUUCCGAGUGUAGAGGUGAAAUUCGUAGAUAUUCGGAGGAACACCAGUGGCGAAGGGCGGCUCACUGGCUCGGUACUGACGCUGAGGUGGCGAAAGCGUGGGGAGCAAACAGG